CCCCACUGCUAUCGGGAUGGGACUAAGACAUGCUAGUCGAGCGUCUCCAAGCUAUGGAAGAGACGCGGCACACAGCUCAGUAACACGUGGCUAACCUGCCCUUGGGACAAGGACAACUCCGGGAAACUGGGGCUAAUCCCUGAUAAGUGAGAACUCCUGGAAUGGAUUCUCGCUCAAAGGACGUUUAGACCAUGCUUCUAGGCGUCGCCCAAGGAGGGGGCCGCGACCGAUCAGGUUGUUGGUGAGGUAACGGCUCACCAAGCCUUUAACCGGUACGGGCCGUGAGAGCGGAGGCCCGGAGAUGGGCACUGAGACAAGGGCCCAGGCCCUACGGGGCGCAGCAGUCGCGAAAACUCCGCAAUACACGAAAGUGUGACGGGGCUAUCCCGAGUGCCAUCCGCUGAGGAUGGCUUUUCCCCAGUGUAUAAAGCUGGGGGAAUAAGGAGAGGGCAAGCCUGGUGUCAGCCGCCGCGGUAAUACCAGCUCUCCGAGUGGUGGGGAUGCUUAUUGGGCCUAAAGCAUUCGUAGCCUGCUUGGCAAGUCCUCCGUUAAAUCCAACGAUUCAAUCGUUGGGCUGCGGGGGAUACUGUCCGGCUAGGGGGCGGGAGAGGCCGACGGUAUCCUCGGGGUAGGGGUGAAAUCCUAUAAUCCCGGGAGGACCACCAGUGGCGAAGGCUGUCGGCUAGAACGCGCUCGACGGUGAGGGAUGAAAGCUGGGGGAGCGAACCGGAUUAGAUACCCGGGUAGUCCCAGCUGUAAACGAUGCAGGCUAGGUGUUGGCGCGGCUACGUGCCGCUCCAGUGCCGCAGGGAAGCCGUUAAGCCUGCCGCCUGGGAAGUACGGCCGCAAGGCUGAAACUUAAAGGAAUUGGCGGGGGGGCACCACAAGGUGUGAAGCUUGCGGUUU
rnacentral:rRNA from 1 species